rnacentral:rRNA from 1 species
AACGAACGCUGGCGGCAGGCCUAACACAUGCAAGUCGAACGCUCCGCAAGGGGAGUGGCGCACGGGUGAGUAACACGUGGGAACCUACCUUCUGGUACGGAACAACCAAGGGAAACUUUGGCUAAGACCGUAUACGACCUCCGGUGAAAGAAUUGAUCGCCGGAAGAGGGGCCCGCGUCCGAUUAGAUAGUUGGUGAGGUAAACGGCUCACCAAGCCUUCGAUCGGUAGCUGGUCUGAGAGGAUGACCAGCCACACUGGGGA